ACUGAGGCUGAAUUAUUUGACCUCAUGCUGCAUCAUCAGAAAAUAUCUUUGAUAAAGAACAACACCCCACAAUGCUUUUCAUUUAAACUUCUUAUGAGUUUGACCCCGUUGGCCUUCCCACCAAAGUUUGGAGAAGUACAAAAUAUAUGGACUGAGAAGAGAGGGGAAAACCUAUUUGAGCACUCAGGGAGUUAACAUGUAAAUUUAGGUGAGGGCUUUGUAUUUUUUGUAUUGCUUAUUAUCUAGCAUCUAAAUAAGGUUGAACUUAAGGAUACGUAUGAACUUUAGGUGAGGGCUUUGUAUUUUUUGUAUGAAAAAGUUCUUAUAAGUUUGAUGGUUUUUGGCACAUGUAGCAUAACGAUGAGUUUGGUCAUAGCUGUGAUCACAUAAUUUGUUCAAUAUCAUGGGUUUCAUGUUUGUAAAGAAUCUGAGAGUACAGUGAACUGUUCUGAUGUCACACAUUGAUCCUAUUUUUGGUUGCCACCCUUACAUGAGAAAUUCAGUCUAGGACAUUGAAUUUUGUUGGCAAACAAUUGCACAUGCCCAAGAUAGAGAUGAGGCUCAAUCUUUAUGUUGUUAUCAACUUCAGGGGGGUGGUUCCUGUCGGCAACAGGGACACAACAGGACAACCUGCCUGGAUCAUGGAGAUGUUCCAAAACAGCCUCGAAUACCUGCUCGGUGCAAGAACUGUAGUGUCAUGGGUCACUGACGAAGCAACUGUACGAAGGCCGCAUAACUAAGACUCCAAAACGACUGCUGAAAGAGCAUUCUAGGCGAUGAUGAGUGCACUGAUUAGAGGGUUGCAUCAAUUUAGUGACGAAACAUUAAGAAGCAAUUCAUAUCUGUUUGUCUGUGUGUUGUAGUUUUCACAUUAUUGUUUUCUGCCGGUGCUAGAAUAAGGACCAUUGUAUUUCUAUGUGUUGUUUCUUGUUAAUAGUAGAUUCAUGGUGUUGUGUGUUUGAUGAAGUUGUUGAUCUCUUCGAACAUAUACCUUCAGCGCUUGCUAAUGAGCUGAAUUUGAUGGACUAAUUGGAAAUGAACCGAAUUUCUGGAAACAGGCAAACACUUGAGUCAGGUUACUUGUUGUAUGCUUCGAAUUUUAAUGUGAUUAGCAUUAG
rnacentral:lncRNA from 1 species